UGCCAGCCGCCGCGGUAAUACGGAGGGUGCGAGCGUUAAUCGGAAUUACUGGGCGUAAAGAGUUCGUAGGCGGUUAAGUAAGUUAGAUGUGAAAGCCCUGGGCUCAACCUAGGAAUUGCAUUUGAUACUGUUUAACUAGAGUACAGAAGAGGAGAGGGGAAUUUCCAGUGUAGCGGUGAAGUGCGUAGAGAUUGGAAGGAACACCAGUGGCGAAGGCGACUCUCUGGGCUGAUACUGACGCUGAGGAACGAAAGCAUGGGUAGCAAACAGGAUUAGAUA
rnacentral:rRNA from 1 species